UGCCCUACACCUGCCCACGGGCAGCGCCGCGUGGCACCGCGAGGAGGAGGAGCGGCAGCCCCAUCUGGAAGGAAUUGAGCGGAUAAAGAAGGGCGUAGAACCCGAAAAAUGGGAAUAAUAAAUAAAGCGGUGGUGCAAGGCGGGAGAUGCAGCCAUGCCCGGACUUUCGAGGGUUCUGAUCCAUCGCGGGGUGAGGAAGCCAACAGAUGGCACUGUGCUGUUUCUGGAGGAGCCCAGCCUUUUUGGAGGCCAGAGAUGGGAUGCCUGAAUCAGCUGGAAAAGCCUUGAACUUCAGGGAAGUUUCUCCCCACGCAGACGCACAAGCAAAGCCUCACCAUGGAGAAAGCCCCAUGGCCCUUCAUCUGCCCUUGGCCCAAAGCGCUGUGCAAAGCAGGCCAGUGUUGUGGAGUCCUGUGGAGCCAUUCUGCAGUGUUCCCAGUCCCACCUGGUCCAAUCCAGCAGAGGUAUGCAGCGUUUGCUACCAGGUCCUGAGCAUCUCCCAGAGCCACUGUGCACCCUCUGAGGACAUGCUCGGUGUCGUAGCUGCUCCCGCCCGGCCCUGCACCCCUGACCCCGCUGCCAUUCAGUGCCACCUUUCAAAUCACUCGAGUCAAAUCAGGGUAAGGCGAUCCAGUCUUCCAGUGGAAAAGAUGGACCAGACCCUUGUGACAAGAUGCAAACACACAAGGCAGGUGACAUUGAACUGGGAGCCUGGGACACCACUGGAGCCUGGAGAAUCAGCUGCACAUGGGCAAAUAUUUGCCCAGAAGAGCCUGGUCAAUGUGGUGGAGAGCUGGAAGCCUGAGUGCAGCCUUCCAUGCUGCCUUAGCAGGAAACUCUCCUCUCCUCCAGCUCCAGACACACUGUCCCAAAACCAUGAGGUCCUGGACACAAAGGGAGGAGAAAACAGACACAGAUUUGUCCUGAGACCUCACUCGGGAGAAGCUGGUGGUAUAAGGAAGUGAAGAGGAGCCAAGACCAUCCCGUUGCAGAGACAAAGGCAGCUGAGCUCUGUGCUGUGCACUUGAGAAUGGGUACAGGGAGGCUGUGCCCUUUGACCAGGGAUGUCAGCCUAGGAAACACACGCUAUGCAGGCAUUUACCUGGUUUUCAAAGCUUGACUGUUUAAGUCCUAAUUCUUACUCAUCUGGGUGUGGACCAAGGCUGGGGUCCUGCUGCAGGGGAAGUGCUGUGCUGAGGCUUGAGCAUACGGAAUGAAGCAGCAGCUUUUGCCAAAGGCUGGUGGCAUCAUGUCCUGAAAAUAUCUACUGUCCUUUUCAUUCUGAGCAGUGCUCGUUUUCCAGUUAAGCUAUGGGCUGUGCUAAGGCAGACGGGGAAAGAGAUUCAGCGUUGACAGGGGUUGUUCUGAAUGUAACAGGAUCCCAUGGCAGAUGUAAACCAGACUCCAGGCAUUUGCUGCCUGUUUCACCGAGGAGAACAGUUUGGAUGAGACUUGGAGUUACUGUUGGUUUCCCUUGGUUUUGGGGGAUAUAAUCUGCUUUUUCACGGUGGAUGUCCUAGUCUGAGUGAGGAUCCAGAUGUGACAGCUGAGGCUCCAGAAGAUGGGAAUGCAACCAAACCAAUCCAGAGGUUUCCUUCCAGGCCCUGAAAAGGUUUUCUCAGAGGAAUCUCCUCACUGACAUCUGUUGGAUGAGGUUGUGGAAUUUCAUCUUCAGAGCCAUCCAGUUAUCAAGAAGAUAUGUCCUGCCCCAAAGUGAAGUUUGUCCCCUUCAAAAACUGAUGGAACAUGCAUUCAUCCCACCUUCCCCAUGGAUGGAGACAUACCUGUGUGUGGAGAUGGGAUUGUCCUCAAGCCAGAGUUUAUAUGACCAUCACUUGGAUGCCAAAUCAUUACAAGAGAGGAGAGGCUACUUCUUCAGCACUAAAGGUGACUCACAAGCAGCAUAAUUCUGGGAAAGUUAAAAGUGGUAAUUCGACAAGACUCAAGGAUUGUGUGGGACUCAAAGGGAUAAAACAGCCUUGCAGGGGCUCUCCUUCCUCUGUCUCCUAGUGAUGAACAAAACUGGAAAGCCAGAACAGUUCAGAGCUGCUGAAAAAUAAAAGAUGAUCACGUCUUCAUGAACACCCAAUGGUGGUGGUGGUCUGGAGAGCAUCUCUGUGUGCCUGUACCAGGACUCCGUGAACCAGCGAAGUUCAUUACUCUCUAAACAGGGUUUCUUCCACCAACUUCUGCUGCCUCCAGUGGCGGAGCUGAGACGAACCCUGAGACCUCUGGCGCACCUGGAAAUGGGACUGUUGUAAUCAGAACUUGCACUCCAGUUUCGUGUUUCUGUUCACAUACUUCUGUGGAGACAUCCAGAAUAGAGAUGAAGAUGAGAAAGGAAGAGGAUAAGUCAGGGAAGGAAAAGAUUGGGUUUAUGGUGGUCAUGGGAAAGCCAGAAGGGAGGAAGGAGAAUAUCUGAAAGAAAGGAGAAACAGGUGGAGAAGGAAAAGAAUUAAUUUCGACAGGCAGUAAGAGGAUGACAGGGGCCAAUUCCAGCAGAUGAGAACCUCCCACUGAAACCCAAAAGUAUUUACUUGGGUCAAGUCUUUUACAAUGUCUCAAACAAAGCAGAAAAGUUGAUUCUUUUGAUUAGAGUAACUUGGCGUUUGGUACUGGGCCAGUGGGUGAGCUAAGAAAGCUGAAACAGGCAAACAGGAGCUGGGGAGAAGGGUGCAGGAAAUAAAAAUUUUAUGUAAGCAAAGAGUGUAGAGAGCACUUGGAGGGACUGAUCAAACUAUGUGUGUAGGAUGGGUUAAUGUCUUAAUCUGAAGGAGGUGACAACCCAAAGUAGUGAAGGCUUGAAGAGGAGGUAGCUAACGUUGCGUUUGCUGUGAAGAGAGGACGGGCAGACAUGGCAGGGGCUGUGCUGCCUUCCCCGCCUCGCAGCUGGCCAUUGCUAUGGGUGUAAUUUAAGGCAGAACUUGGCCUUUCUUACAUAUUUCACUUACUCCCUUGAUUUUAAUUGACUCUGUUAUGGGCAUUUCAAGAGUUUCAUGAGCCUGUGGUGCCUGGUUUCCCAGGUCAGAGGGAGGGGAGCGCUGUUCCUCUGCCAGAGGGGAAGGGAGUGCUGUGCAGAAGCUUUGGGAUGGAGAGAGGGCUGUGGGUCGGUGUUGAACAUGGGUGCCCCUUGUAAUAUUUCUAUAGUGGCUUUGCCUCUUUUUCCCUCCACCAUCCCUCUUUCCUCUCCCUGCUUAGGGAGUCUAUUUGUUUAUACUCAUGGCUUUUGCAGGAGCACAUUUAGUUCUGACACCAUCUCAGCCAGGAGGCCAGUGGGGGAUUCCAUGUGUCCCUUGGCCAGAGGGCUGGGUUUGGGGUGGCUCAGGGUGCUGGGUCUCCCUGUCCCCAUCGUGCAGGCGGGGUCCCCAGGGCUGGCACACGUGGUUUGGGCAGCAGCAGCACUGCAGCAGGGCAGGAGAGGGUGAAGGACAGAGGUGCCAUGCCCCAGGGGUGGGCAGCCAGGUGUGUGCCCCACUCGUUCCGUGGCAGUGGAUGGGGCAGGCUGCUCGGAGGUACAGCUGCCCGGCCUCAGAUCAGUGUUUAUUUUCCAGGCUGAAAGGAAGCUUGUGAUCCCAAAGCCCUCUGUGUUUAGCCAGACCUCUCAUUCACUUGCAGAGGAAACCCAUGUCAGCCGCUCCCCUUUGUCUCUCCCCUGAGCUAUUGCUUUGAAUCUGAAAGGAUUGGGUGCAGAUUUCAAGGGAUGUUCAGACAAAGGCUGUUUGAACAGCACUUGUGUAAAUAAUCCAUGAAAAACUCUUUGAAUAACGUCAAUGAAAUUUUCUCUGAAUUUGCUAUUCUUUUUCUCCAGCGGCAGAAAGAAGUGGAAGUCAGGAACGGGAGGAGA